rnacentral:tRNA from 1 species
UCGGGUAUCGUCUAAUGGUAGGACAGCGGAUUCUGAUUCCGCCAAUCAAGGUUCGAGUCCUUGUACCCGAA